UACGAAGGGGGCUAGCGUUGCUCGGAAUCACUGGGCGUAAAGCGCACGUUAGGCGGAUUGUUAAGUCAGGGGUGAAAUCCUGGAGCUCAACUCCAGAACUGCCUUUGAUACUGGCGAUCUCGAGUCCGGGAGAGGUGAGUGGAACUGCGAGUGUAGAGGUGAAAUUCGUAGAUAUUCGCAAGAACACCAGUGGCGAAGGCGGCUUUCUGGUCUGUAACUGACGCUGAGGCGCGAAAGCAUGGGGAGCGAACGAGGAAUU
rnacentral:rRNA from 1 species